rnacentral:lncRNA from 1 species
CAAGGUAAGGGUGAGAUAAAUCUUAAGGGGUACUAGGCUAACAUUCAAAGAGACAAAAGAGACUUAAAAGAAACUGCGGGAGUUGAAUUUAUAAAAUAUUUCAUUCACUUCAACAACUCUAAAGUAAUUGUUUUCAUUCAUAUUUUUCUUCUCAUUUCUCUUUUUUUCUUCUUUUCUUCUUCUUUUCAUUAGGAGUGUGUAUGUAUUGAUAUGUAUACAUCCUUUUAUUUUAUUUUCAUUCAUUUUUUUUCUUUUCAUUUUUCUUUUUU